GUAAAAGCUCGUAACAAGGUUUCCGUAGGUGAACCUGCGGAAGGAUCGUCA
rnacentral:rRNA from 1 species